AUUGAACGCUGGCGGCAUGCCUUACACAUGCAAGUCGAACGGUAACGGGUUAAGCUGACGAGUGGCGAACGGGUGAGUAAUGUAUCGGAACGUGCCCAGUCGUGGGGGAUUACGUAGCGAAAGCUACGCUAAUACCGCAUACGAUCUAUGGAUGAAAGCGGGGGAUCGCAAGACCUCGCGCGAUUGGAGCGGCCGAUAUCAGAUUAGGUAGUUGGUGGGGUAAAGGCCCACCAAGCCGACGAUCUGUAGCUGGUCUGAGAGGACGACCAGCCACACUGGGACUGAGACACGGCCCAGACUCCUACGGGAGGCAGCAGUGGGAAUUUUGGGACAAUGGGCGCAAGCCUGAUCCAGCAAUGCCGCGUGCAGGAUGAAGGCCUCGGGUUGU
rnacentral:rRNA from 1 species